rnacentral:rRNA from 1 species
UACGAAGGGGGCUAGCGUUGUUCGGAUUUACUGGGCGUAAAGCGCACGUAGGCGGUUUGUUAAGUCAGGGGUGAAAUCCCAGAGCUCAACUCUGGAACUGCCUUUGAUACUGGCAAGCUAGAGUCCGGAAGAGGUAAGUGGAACUCCUAGUGUAGAGGUGGAAUUCGUAGAUAUUCGGAAGAACACCAGUGGCGAAGGCGACUCACUGGACACGUAUUGACGCUGAGGUGCGAAAGCGUGGGGAGCAAACAGG